UACAGAGGGUGCAAGCGUUGUUCGGAAUCAUUGGGCGUAAAGGGCGUGUAGGCGGUUUGUUAAGUCAUGUGUGAAAUCCCUCGGCUCAACCGGGGAACGACGCUUGAAACUGGCAAGCUAGAGUACCAAAGAGGGCGGUGGAAUUCCCGGUGUAGCGGUGAGAUGCGUAGAUAUCGGGAGGAACACCUGUGGCGAAGGCGGCCGCCUGGUUGGAUACUGACGCUGAGACGCGAAAGCGUGGGGAGCGAACGGG
rnacentral:rRNA from 1 species